CCUUUCUUGUUGCCUUAUAUAGGGGAAAUAACAAGACAAAGUCAUCUUGGACUAUCAUUGAAUAAACCAAGAAAUCAACUGAGACUCUUGUCUAAGAUCAGAUAAAAAUGUUAAAAAAGCAAAUGCUUUACGCAUUUAUUUGAACCUCUUUUCCAUGAAAAUGGAAUAAGAAUGAACUGGAAAAUAUAUGUACGCUUAUCCAAGACAAUUCCAAAGGAUUCAUAAAGAAAAAUGCAAUACACCCCCAGAAAGAAUACCCAAGUGAUUGUCUCCUUCUCCCCCAAUGCUUUCAGGACUCACAAAGUGAUUUCUAAAUCUCCUUCUUUGCCAUUCUCACUGCUAAAGAUGAUGCAUAAUAAAUUCAGCUUCA
rnacentral:lncRNA from 1 species